rnacentral:rRNA from 1 species
UACGAAGGGGGCUAGCGUUGCUCGGAAUUACUGGGCGUAAAGGGCGCGUAGGCGGUUUGGUCAGUCAGGCGUGAAAUUCCCGGGCUCAACCUGGGGGCUGCGCUUGAUACGGCCAGACUUGAGGAUGGAAGAGGCUCGCGGAAUUCCCAGUGUAGAGGUGAAAUUCGUAGAUAUUGGGAAGAACACCGGUGGCGAAGGCGGCGAGCUGGUCCAUUACUGACGCUGAGGCGCGACAGCGUGGGGAGCAAACAGG